rnacentral:rRNA from 1 species
CUACGGGAGGCUGCAGUGGGGAAUCUUAGACAAUGGGCGCAAGCCUGAUCUAGCCAUGCCGCGUGAGUGACGAAGGCCUUAGGGUCGUAAAGCUCUUUCGCUGGGGAAGAUAAUGACGGUACCCAGUAAAGAAACCCCGGCUAACUCCGUGCCAGCAGCCGCGGUAAUACGGAGGGGGUUAGCGUUGUUCGAAAUUACUGGGCGUAAAGCGCGCGUAGGCGGAUCAGAAAGUUGGGGGUGAAAUCCCGGGGCUCAACCCCGGAACUGCCUUCAAAACUCCUGGUCUUGAGUUCGAGAGAGGUGAGUGGAAUUCCGAGUGUAGAGGUGAAAUUCGUAGAUAUUCGGAGGAACACCAGUGGCGAAGGCGGCUCACUGGCUCGAUACUGACGCUGAGGUGCGAAAGCGUGGGGAGCAAACAGGAUUAGAUACCCGAGUAGUC